rnacentral:rRNA from 1 species
GAUGAACGCUGGCGGCGUGCCUAAUACAUGCAAGUCGAGCGGCAGCACGGUCUUCGGACUGGUGGCGAGCGGCGGACGGCUGAGUAACGCGUAGGAACGUACCCCAAAGUGAGGGAUAACUGCUCGAAAGAGUAGCUAAUACCGCAUGUGAUCUACGGAUUAAAGCUUCGGCGCUUUGGGAACGGCCUGCGUCUGAUUAGCUAGUUGGUGAGGUAAAAGCUCACCAAGGCGACGAUCAGUAGCUGGUCUGAGAGGAUGAUCAGCCAGACUGGGACUGAGAAACGGCCCAGACUCCUACGGGAGGCAGCAGUAGGGAAUUUUACACAAUGGGCGAAAGCCUGAUGGAGCAACGCCGCGUGCAGGAUGAAUGCCUUCGGGUUGUAAACUGCUUUUAUAUGUGACGAUUAUGACGGUAGCAUAUGAAUAAGGAUCGGCUAACUCCGUGCCAGCCGCCGCGGUAA